UCCCAGCUCAAUCGGUAGAGCGUCAGACUCUUAUAUCAUAUCAAGAAGCAAUCUGAAGGUUGCGGGUUCGACCCCCGCGUUGGGCU
rnacentral:tRNA from 2 species